rnacentral:pre_miRNA from 1 species
GGCGGGUGGGAGGGUCCCUCAGCCCAGAUUGCAAGAGGACGCAGGCCAGGCUGAGGAAUCCCACCGGUGCACA